GCCUGGACAGCACAGUUGGCCAGAGCGUGGUGCUGAUAACCCCAAGGUUGCAGGUUCGAUCCCUGUAUGGGACA